GUUUCUCAUCAUAUUACUAGCUUAACUGCAUCUCGAGAUACAGGUCCAUAGGGCGACUUAUUUAAAAGAGAGAAGAUGCCACCACCAGGUUGGGGACCGCCGCCGGGAGGACCACCCGGAGGCCCGGGAAUUUGUGGCUGCUUUGGCUUCUUAUGUGAUGGUAUCUGCAGGGUUGUGAAUUCAUGUUGCUAUGUUCUGUGCUGCUGCUGCAUCUUUGAAAGGUGUUGUGGACCCAUGUUUGGUGGACCGGGCGGUCCUGGCGGUCCAGGCGGUCCAGGUGGUCCAGGUCGUUUCUGAUCACCGCAUGUUGACUUGUUGAUUGUUAUGAACACAAUCGUGGC